UACAGAGGCCUCGAGCGUUAGGCGGAAUCACUGGGCUUAAAGCGUGUGUAGGCGGACUUCUAAGUACCUUGUGAAAUCCCACGGCUUACCCGUGGAACUGCUCGGUAUACUGGUUGUCUUGAGCCACCUAGGGGCGAGUGGAACAAAUGGUGGAGCGGUGAAAUGCGUAGAUAUCAUUUGGAACGCCAUGGUGAAAACAACUCGCUGGGGGUGUGCUGACGCUGAGACACGAAAGCCAGGGGAGCGAACGGG
rnacentral:rRNA from 1 species